UACGGAGGGGGCUAGCGUUGUUCGGAAUUACUGGGCGUAAAGCGCACGUAGGCGGUUUUUUAAGUCAGAGGUGAAAGCCCGGAGCUCAACUCCGGAAUUGCCUUUGAUACUGACGAUCUGGAGAUCGGGAGAGGUGAGUGGAAUUCCGAGUGUAGAGGUGAAAUUCGUAGAUAUUCGGAGGAACACCAGAAGCGAAGGCGGCUCACUGGCCCGAUACUGACGCUGAGGCGCGAAAGCGUGGGGAGCAAACAGG
rnacentral:rRNA from 1 species